rnacentral:lncRNA from 1 species
AUGGGGAAGCAAAAGAAAACAAGGAAGUAUGCGACCAUGAAGUGAAUGCUUAGUCUCAGGGAUCAGAGGCUUACAGAAAAGGAUAAAUUAAAACCUAAAAAGAAAGAAAAGAAGGAUCCCAGCGUGUUAAAGGAAAGAGAAAUUCCCCAACACCCUACCUGCUUAUUUUUCCAAUAUAAUACACAGCUGGGCCCACCUUACCACAUCCUCAUUGAUACCAACCUUUAUCAACUUUUCCAUAAAAGCCAAACCAGACUUAGUGCAGUCAAUGAUGGACUGUCUGUAUACCAAGUGUAUUCCUUGUAUAACUGAUUGUGUAAUGCCUGAAAUUGAGAAAUUGGAGCAGAAGUAUGGAGUGGCUCUAAGGAUCACCAAGGAUCCAAGAUUUGAAGGAUUACCAUGUACACACAAAGGAACCUAAGCAGAUGACUCUUAGUACAGAGAGUAAUUCAGCAUAAGUUUUAUAUUGUGGCCACAGUUGACCAGGACCUUAAAAGAAGAAUCCCUAAGAUUCCUGGAGUUCCUGUCAUGUACAUUUCUAACCAUAGAUACAACAUUGAAUGAAUGCCAGAUGAUUAUGGAGCCCCUUGAUUCUAA